GAGACCCACGCCCACAGUUGCCAGCGUACUCUCUGGAGUGACGGGUACACUGUGGGGACCGCCGCUGCUAAAGCGGAGGAAGGAAUGGGCAACGGUAGGUCAGUAUGCCCCGAAUAUCCCGGGCUACACGCGAGCUACAAUGGCUGGUACAAUGGGUAUCUACCCCGAAAGGGGAUGGAAAUCUCCUAAAGCCAGUCUUAGUUCGGAUCGAGGGCUGCAACUCGCCCUCGUGAAGCUGGAAUCCGUAGUAAUCGCGUUUCAACAGAACGCGGUGAAUAC
rnacentral:rRNA from 2 species